GUCCCUGUAGCGCAAUGGAUAGCGCGUUGGACUUCUAAUCCAAAUGUCAUAGGUUUGAAUCCUACCUGGGAUG
rnacentral:tRNA from 1 species